AUUGAACGCUGGCGGCAUGCCUUACACAUGCAAGUCGAGCGGCAGCGCGGGGGCAACCCUGGCGGCGAGCGGCGAACGGGUGAGUAAUGCAUCGGAACGUGUCCUUUUGUGGGGGAUAACCAGUCGAAAGACUGGCUAAUACCGCAUGAGCUCGUAAGAGGAAAGCAGGGGAUCCGCAGGGACCUUGCGCGAGAGGAGCGGCCGAUGCCCGAUUAGCAGUUGGUGAGGUAACGGCUCACCAAGGCGACGAUCGGUAGCUGGUUUGAGAGAACGACCAGCCACACUGGGACUGAGACACGGCCCAGACUCCUACGGGAGGCAGCAGUGGGGAAUUUUGGACAAUGGGGGAAACCCUGAUCCAGCCAUGCCGCGUGUGUGAAGAAGG
rnacentral:rRNA from 1 species